AUUGAACGCUGGCGGCAGGCCUAACACAUGCAAGUCGAGCGGAUGAAGGGAGCUUGCUCCUGGAUUCAGCGGCGGACGGGUGAGUAAUGCCUAGGAAUCUGCCUGGUAGUGGGGGAUAACGUCCGGAAACGGGCGCUAAUACCGCAUACGUCCUGAGGGAGAAAGUGGGGGAUCUUCGGACCUCACGCUAUCAGAUGAGCCUAGGUCGGAUUAGCUAGUUGGUGGGGUAAAGGCCUACCAAGGCGACGAUCCGUAACUGGUCUGAGAGGAUGAUCAGUCACACUGGAACUGAGACACGGUCCAGACUCCUACGGGAGGCAGCAGUGGGGAAUAUUGGACAAAGGGCGAAGGCCUGAUCCAGCCAUGCCGCGUGUGUGAAGAAGGUCUUCGGAUUGUAAAGCACUUUAAGUUGGGAGGAAGGGCAGUAAGUCAAUACCUUGCUGUUUUGACGUUACCAACAGAAUAAGCACCGGCUAACUUCGUG
rnacentral:rRNA from 1 species